rnacentral:rRNA from 1 species
ACGCUGGCGGCGUGCCUAAUACAUGCAAGUCGAGCGAAUGGAUUAAGAGCUUGCUCUUAUGAAGUUAGCGGCGGACGGGUGAGUAACACGUGGGUAACCUGCCCAUAAGACUGGGAUAACUCCGGGAAACCGGGGCUAAUACCGGAUAACAUUUUGAACCGCAUGGUUCGAAAUUGAAAGGCGGCUUCGGCUGUCACUUAUGGAUGGACCCGCGUCGCAUUAGCUAGUUGGUGAGGUAACGGCUCACCAAGGCAACGAUGCGUAGCCGACCUGAGAGGGUGAUCGGCCACACUGGGACUGAGACACGGCCCAGACUCCUACGGGAGGCAGCAGUAGGGAAUCUUCCGCAAUGGACGAAAGUCUGACGGAGCAACGCCGCGUGAGUGAUGAAGGCUUUCGGGUCGUAAAACUCUGUUGUUAGGGAAGAACAAGUGCUAGUUGAAUAAGCUGGCACCUUGACGGUACCUAACCAGAAAGCCACGGCUAACUACGUGCCAGCAGCCGCGGUAAUACGUAGGUGGCAAGCGUUAUCCGGAAUUAUUGGGCGUAAAGCGCGCGCAGGUGGUUUCUUAAGUCUGAUGUGAAAGCCCACGGCUCAACCGUGGAGGGUCAUUGGAAACUGGGAGACUUGAGUGCAGAAGAGGAAAGUGGAAUUCCAUGUGUAGCGGUGAAAUGCGUAGAGAUAUGGAGGAACACCAGUGGCGAAGGCGACUUUCUGGUCUGUAACUGACACUGAGGCGCGAAAGACGG